GAUCAAGCGCAAAAAGGGCAUUUGGUGGAUGCCUUGGUAUUAGGAGGCGAUGAAGGACGUAGCACGUUGCGAUAAGUCCCGGGGAGUUGCGAGCAGGCAUUGAUCCGGGAAUUUCCGAAUGGGGAAACCCACCCUUUUAGGGUAUCAUGAUCUGAAUACAUAGGGUCAUGAGGCAAACCUGGAGAACUGAAACAUCUAAGUAUCCAGAGGAAAAGACAUCAACCGAGAUUCCGCUAGUAGUGGCGAGCGAACGCGGAGCAGGCCAGUUGCAUUCAUUAUCUAAUUAGAAUAUUCUGGAAAGGAUAGCCAUAGUAGGUGAUAGCCCCGUAUAAGUAUGGGUAAUGAGUGUACAUGAGUAGGGCGGGACACGUGAAAUCCUGUUUGAAGAUGGGGGGACCACCCUCCAAGCCUAAAUACUCCCUAAUGACCGAUAGUGAACAAGUACCGUGAGGGAAAGGUGAAAAGAACCCCAAUGAGGGGAGUGAAAUAGACCUGAAACCAAAUGCCUACAAACAGGGGGAGCGAGUGUUCAGAAUUAAAAAGAGAAGAGAGUUUAUUUAAUGACUUGUCAUUCUUACAACUUGUCCGCCGAAGCACGUAGUGCGUAGGAGAAAGCUUGUCUUUUUGAUUCUGAACACUUGUGACCUCGUACCUUUUGUAUAAUGGGUCAGCGACUUAAUUUAUGCAGCGAGCUUAAGCCGAUAGGUGUAGGCGU
rnacentral:rRNA from 1 species